rnacentral:tRNA from 1 species
GCCUGGCCAUCUCAGUUGGUAGUGCAUGAGACUCUUAAUCUCAGGGUCAUGGGUUUGAGUCCCAGGUUGGGCG